GCUGAGCUUGGUGGCGCAUGCCUGUAAUCCCAGCAGCUCCAGAGGCUGAGGCAGGAGGAUCACAAUUUCAAAGCUUAGGGCCUUGCAACUUAGCAAGGCCCUAAGCAACUCAGUGAGACCCUGUCUCUA
rnacentral:sRNA from 1 species